CACAGGAGCUGUACAGUUGCUGUGGACCUGGCUUCCCCCAGCAAGGUCCUAGGCACACUUGUGAGGACUAAGUCUUGCUCUUCAGGUGGGGUGGGGCUUCCUGCUCAGUGUACAAGGUCGGGCAGCAUCCCUGGUCUCUGCUCAGGAGACAUCUACAGCCCACAGCCUUGGCCCGAGCAUCAGACACAUCUCCAGACCUGGCCCAGUACACCUGCAGAGAGAGCAUCCUGCGGGCAGCGACACCUGUGCAGAAGCGUUUUAUAAUCCCCAAAAGAGAGCUGCGACCUGGUAACCGGACGUGACUCAGCUGAA
rnacentral:lncRNA from 1 species